GCAAAGGCUCUUUUCAGAGCCACCGACAAAAUCAAAAAAGAGCUCU
rfam:Chelonia mydas contig215286, whole genome shotgun sequence.